rnacentral:rRNA from 1 species
UACGGAGGGUGCAAGCGUUAUCCGGAUUCACUGGGUUUAAAGGGUGCGUAGGUGGGUUGGUAAGUCAGUGGUGAAAUCUCCAGGCUUAACUUGGAAACUGCCAUUGAUACUAUCAAUCUUGAAUACCGUGGAGGUCAGCGGAAUAUGUCAUGUAGCGGUGAAAUGCUUAGAUAUGACAUAGAACACCUAUUGCGAAGGCAGCUUACUACGCAUAUAUUGACGCUGAGGCACGAAAGCGUGGGGAUCAAAACAGG